CCGGCGCACGGGUGAGUAACACGUAUGCAACCUGGCCGUGACAGAUGGAUAACCGGGAGAAAUCCCGCCUAAUACAGCAUGACGCCGGGAAGGGACAUCCCUUUUCCGGCCAAAGGGGGCGACUCCGGUCACGGAUGGGCAUGCGGCGCAUUAGGUAAUUGGUGGGGCAACGGCCCACCAAGCCGACGAUGCGUAGGGGUUCUGAGAGGAAGGUCCCCCACACUGGUACUGAGACACGGACCAGACUCCUACGGAAGGCAGCAG
rnacentral:rRNA from 1 species